UUUUGCUUACUGGGUCAAGAGAAGAGAACAGAAUAGAAGAAGAGUCAACAUUUGCUAGCUCUAAUUGAGACCGUUCAAUAUGGGAAGCAAAUUUGGACAGGUAAAAGUUAUAGUUGUUCAAGGCAGGCGUUUGGUGAUUCGGGACUUUAAGAGCAGUGAUCCUUAUGUCAUUCUCAAACUGGGUAAUCAGACUGCAAAAACAAAGGUCAUAAAUAGCUGCCUUAAUCCUGUUUGGAAUGAAGAAUUUCAUUUUUCCAUUUCAGAACAUGCUCAGGUUCUCAAAUUGCAAGUGUUUGACAAAGACCACUUCAAGGCCGAUGACAAAAUGGGAAAUGCUCAUCUCAGCCUUCAGCCUUUAGUUGCUUCUGCUAGAUUGAGAAAGAUUCUUGGGGUUACCGCUGAAGGAACAACACUGAGGAAGGUUAUUCCAGAGAGUGAUAACUGUCUAGCAGCGGAUAGCAGUAUUAAUUGGGUGAAUGGUGAGGUUGUUCAAGAUGUCUGGUUGAGGCUUUGUGAUGUGGAUUCUGGGGAUAUAGAACUGAAGAUCAUAUUGAUCGAUCUCCCUUCUGCAGCUCCCUCUAAGUAAGACGGAGAUAGAUCUGUUGAAGUUAGGAUUGGUUGGUCCUUAGAUUUACUUUCUUGUCGCAGGUAAAGGUUUAGCAUGUGUGAUAUAUCCAGUAGGAGAGCCAGCACUUAGUUGUAUCUCAAAUGUAUUAUAUAUAUUCAUAAUGGUGUGUACUUGUGCUCCAGCUAAAUCCUUGUUAGAACAUUGCUUCUCCUAGUUCUUUUCAAUAGCAGCAUUGAGCUGAUGGAUUAACAUACCAUUGCUGUUCUGUAUUUUUGGUGAAGCUCAUCGUCAUUUUGACUGCUAUCUUUAAGAAAUCGAUGCAUUAAAGCUGAG
rnacentral:misc_RNA from 1 species